UCUUUUUUUUUUUUUUUUUGCUUCAAUCAGUGAUGGUCAAUCUCUAUUGUUUGCAAUUAAGAAUCCUGAUGCAUUUGCUUUUGGCAAUUUCAUUGUAAAAUCUUUGUCCAUGCCUAUGUACUGAAUGGUAUUACUUAGAUUUUCUUCUAGGGUUUUUAUGGUUUGGGGUUUUACAUUUAAGUCUUUACUCCAUCUUGAGUUAAUAUUUGUAUAAGGUGUCAGGAAGAGGUCCAGUUUCAGUUUUCUGCAUAUGGCUAGUCAGCUUUCCCAGUACCACUCAUUAAAUAGGAAAUUCUUUCCCUAUUGCUUGUUUUUGUCAGGUUUGUAGAAGAUCAGAUGGUUGUAGAUAUGUGGUCUUAUUUCUGAGAUCUCUAUUCUGUUCCAUUGGUAUAUGUGUCUAUUUUGGUACCAGUACCAUGCUGUUUUGCUUACUGUAGCCUUGUAGUAUAGUUUGAAGUCAGGUAGUGUGAUGCCUCCAGCUCUGUUCUUUUUGCUUAGGAUUGUCUUGGCUAUACAGGCUCUUUUUUUUGGUUCCAUAUGAAUUUUAAAUUUGUUUUUUUCUAAUUCUGUAAAGAAUGUCAAUGGUAGUUUGAUGGGAAUAGUAUUGAAUCCAUAAAUUACUUCGGGCAGUAUGGCCAUUUUCAUUAUACUGAUUCUUCCUAUCUAAAAGGAUGGAAUGUUUUUCCAUUUAUUUCUGUCCUCUCUUAUUUCCUUGAGCAGUGGUUUGUAGUUCUCCUUGAAGAGGUCCUUCACAUCCCUUGUUAGCUGUAUUCCUAGGUAUUUUUAAUUUUCUUUGUAGCAAUCGUGAAUGGGAGUUCAUUCAUGAUUUGGCUCUCUGCUUGUCUAUUAUUGGUGUGUAGGAAUGCUUCUGAUUUUUGCACAUUGAUUUUGUAUCCUGAGACUUUGCUGAAGGAACUUCAGCUUAAGGAACUUUUGAGAUCAUGUUCUUUGCAAGGACAUGGAUGAAGCUGGAAACCAUCAUUCUCAGCAAACUAACACAGGAACAGAGAAUCAAACACUGGAUGUUCUCUCAUAACUGGGAGCUGAACAAUGAGAACACAUGGAAACAGGGAGGGGAACAACACACACCCGAGCCUGUUAGGGGGCAGGGAGGGAGAGCAUCAGGAUAAAUGGCUAACGUAUGUGGGGCUUAAUGUGCUAUAUGUGAUGGGUUGAUGGGUGCAGCAAACCACCAUGGCACACGCUUACCUAUGUAACAAACCUGCACAUUCUGCACCUGUAUCCCGGACACAAUUGUGUGGGUUGGCAAGUUGGAAAUCUGUAGAGCAGGCUGGAAACUUGUGCAGGAGCUGAAGCUGCAGCCCACAGGCAAUAUUGCUGCUUCUUCAGAGAGAUUCAGUUUUUAUCUUAAAGCCUUUAGACAAUGACUACUUGCUGACAGCAUUCUCCUGUAGACAAGUUGCUCUGCAGAGCAAAAUUCCAGGCAGAAAAGGGGCAUCCUUGAGCACACGGGUUUCUGCAGCCAU
rnacentral:lncRNA from 10 species